rnacentral:rRNA from 1 species
GAUGAACGCUGGCGGCGUGCCUAAUACAUGCAAGUCGAGCGAACGGACGAGAAGCUUGCUUCUCUGAUGUUAGCGGCGGACGGGUGAGUAACACGUGGAUAACCUACCUAUAAGACUGGGAUAACUUCGGGAAACCGGAGCUAAUACCGGAUAAUAUUUUGAACCGCAUGGUUCAAAAGUGAAAGACGGUCUUGCUGUCACUUAUAGAUGGAUCCGCGCUGCAUUAGCUAGUUGGUAAGGUAACGGCUUACCAAGGCAACGAUGCAUAGCCGACCUGAGGGGGUGAUCGGCCACACUGGAACUGAGACACGGUCCAGACUCCUAAGGGAGGCAGCAGUAGGGAAUCUUCCGCAAUGGGCGAAAGCCUGACGGAGCAACGCCGCGUGAGUGAUGAAGGUCUUCGGAUCGUAAAACUCUGUUAUUAGGGAAGAACAUAUGUGUAAGUAACUGUGCACAUCUUGACGGUACCUAAUCAGAAAGCCACGGCUAACUACGUG